CCUGUGGAUCUUGUUACCACACAAAGUCUGAUACAGUGGGUCGGGUUGAGGUCGCAUUUCUGCAUUUCUAACAGGAUCCAGGCUGACCACACUUGAAGCAGCAAGGUCCUAGCUUAACCCCUUACUUUACAGAGACAAGAUCUUGCUCUGUCACAUGGGCUGGAGUGCAGUGGUGUGAUCCUAGCUCACUGAAGCCUUGAACUUCUGGACUCAAGCGAUCUUCCCACCUCAGCCUCCUAAGUAGUUAGGACUAC
rnacentral:lncRNA from 1 species